rfam:Picea glauca, whole genome shotgun sequence.
ACAUGCCUAUAGCAUAGAGUUAAUGCAUCAGAUCCCAUUAGAACUCUGAAGUUAAGCGCACUCAGGCUAGAGUAGUACUGGGAUGGGAGACCGCCUGGGAAGUCCUAGUGUUUUACAUGCC